AUACGGAGGGGGCAAGCGUUGUUCGGAAUUACUGGGCGUAAAGGGCGCGUAGGCGGGAAGUCAAGUUAGGGGUGAAAGGCCUGGGCUCAACCUAGGAACUGCCUCUAAAACUGGCUAUCUAGAGUCCGGGAGAGGAUGGCGGAAUUCCCAGUGUAGAGGUGAAAUUCGUAGAUAUUGGGAAGAACACCAGUGGCGAAGGCGGCCAUCUGGUCCGGCACUGACGCUGAGGCGCGAAAGCGUGGGGAGCAAACAGGAUUAGAAACCCCAGUAGUCC
rnacentral:rRNA from 1 species